rnacentral:sRNA from 1 species
CGCUUCGGUCCGGAGUCAGUGGGUUACCUUCCAGGGAAUCCCCCAUUGACACACGCUUGUCCGACGC